rnacentral:rRNA from 1 species
AGAGUUUGAUCAUGGCUCAGAGUGAACGCUGGCGGCAUGCCUAACACAUGCAAGUCGAACGGUAACAGGACCGCGAGGGUGCUGACGAGUGGUGACACGGGUGAGGAAUACAUCGUAAUUUGCCCCGUCGUGGGGGAAUAACGUAGGGAAGCUUACGCUAAUACCGCAUACGACCUAUCGGCGAAAGCGAUGGAUCAGCAAUGACCUCGCGAGGAUGUAUAAGCCGCUGCCGGAUUAGCUAGUUGGCGGGGCAAAGGCCCACAAAGACAACGAUCUGAAGAUGGUCUGAGAGGAUGAUCAGACACACCGCGACUGAGACACGGCCCAGACUCCUACGGGAGGCAGCCGUCGGGAAUAUUGGCCAAUGGGGGCGACCAUGAUCCAGCAAUGCUGAGCGUGUGAAGAAGGCCUUCGGGAUGUUAAGUACUUUUAUCGAGAACGAAACAAACAGGGUGAAUACCCCUGCGGACUGACGGUACCCGAAGAAUAAGCUCCGGCUAACUUCGUGCCAGCAGCCGCGGUAAUACGAAGGGUGCAAGCGUUGCUCGGAAUUACUGGGCGUAAAGGGUGCGUAGGUGGUUGUUUAAGUCCGUUGUGAAGUUCCUGGGCUCAACCUGCGAAUCUCAGUGGAUUCUGGGCGGUUAGAGUGCGGUAGAGGGUAGUGGAACCGCGAGUGUAGCAGUGAAAUGCGUAGAGAUUGGCAGGAACACCAGUGGCGAAGGCGGCUCCCUGGACCAGCACUGACGCUGAGGCGCGAAAGCGUGGGGAGCAAACAGGAUUAGAUACCCCGGUAGUCC